rnacentral:rRNA from 1 species
CCUACGGGCGGCAGCAGUGAGGAAUAUUGGUCAAUGGACGAGAGUCUGAACCAGCCAAGUAGCGUGAAGGAUGACUGCCCUAUGGGUUGUAAACUUCUUUUAUAUGGGAAUAAAAUGUUCCACGUGUGGGAUUUUGUAUGUACCAUAUGAAUAAGGAUCGGCUAACUCCGUGCCAGCAGCCGCGGUAAUACGGAGGAUCCGAGCGUUAUCCGGAUUUAUUGGGUUUAAAGGGAGCGUAGGUGGAUUGUUAAGUCAGUUGUGAAAGUUUGCGGCUCAACCGGAAAAUUGCAGUUGAAACUGGCAGUCUUGAGUACAGUAGAGGUGGGCGGAAUUCGUGGUGUAGCGGUGAAAUGCUUAGAUAUCACGAAGAACUCCGAUUGCGAAGGCAGUUCACUGGACUGCAACUGACACUGAGGCUCGAAAGUGUGGGUAUCAAACAGGAUUAGAUACCCGUGUAGUC